rnacentral:lncRNA from 1 species
CGCCGGGGGCGUGGUGAGGAGGCCGCGGCGGGUAGGGUUGGUGGGAGCGGGGUCUGCGCCGCUCGCUCUUCAGGUCCGAGGUGAGGAGCGUCCUGCUUAAGGUCAGAGCUCCUGGGGACAGCCGGCGUACACCCCCUUCCAGGAUGGCUAAAGGAGAGUACAUCUGAUAUCAUAUGAAAGCUGAUCAAGACUGAAUAUAGAACCAUGAAGUUUUACCUUGGAACUGGUUGCUGCUUCCAUGUUCUCCUUUUCUUGUU